GACACUAGAUAUUGUUUUUUGCAGGUAAAACCUGAAAGCAUUCAUUAUGUGUUUUGAAAGUGACUUGUAAUGUAAUGUGUUCCUUUCUUUACUAACAUACAUCUUCCUGUAACAAUUUUUUUUGUUGAAAAACUAAUGUUUGGAAAACUUUUCUUACUGACUUAAUGCACACAGUAAUCAUCUAAGCCAAAAUUUGUACUUAGAAACAAAUAAGACAAGUCAUUCAAUAAAGAAGAACUACAGAUAUAUAAAAGAAGGAUGAGCUGUAAUUGACCUAUUGAGUGCAUCCGGAAAGUAUUCACAGCGCUUCACUUUUUCCACAUUUUGUUAUGUUACAGCUUUAUUCCAAGAUGGAUUAAAUUGAUUAUUUUCCUCAAAAUUCUACAAACAAUAACCCAUAAUGACAACGUGAAAUAAGUUUGGUUGAAAUCUUUGCAAAUUUAUUAAAAAUAAAAAACAAAAAAGCACAUGUACAUAAGUAUUCACAGCCUUUGCUCAAUACUUUGUUGAAGUACCUUUGGCACCAAUUACAGCCUCCAGUCUUUUUGAGUAUGAUGCUACAAGCUUGGCACACCUAUUUUUGGGCAGUUUCUCCUAUUCUUCUUUGCAGGACCUCUCAAGCUCCAUCAGGUUGGAUGGGGAACGUCGGUGCACAGCCAUUUUCAUUGUUCAAUCGGGUUCAAGUCUGGGCUUUGGCUGGGCCACUCAAGGACAUUCACAAAGUUGUCUUGUAGCCACUCCUUUGUUAUCUUGUCUGUGUGCUUAUGGUCAUUAUCCUGUUGAAUGAUCAACCUUCGCCCUAGUCUGAGGUCCAAAGCGCUCUGGAACAGGUUUUCAUCAAGGAUGUCUCUGUACAUUGCUGCAUUCAUUUUUCCCUCGAUCCUGACUAGUCUCCCAGUUCCUGCCGCUGAAAAACAUCCCCACAGCAUGAUGCUUCCACCACCAUGCUUCACUGUAGGGAAUAUUAUUGGGCAGGUGAUGAGUGGUACCUGGUUUCCUCCAGACAUGACGCUUGCCAUUCAGGCCAAAGAGUUCAAUCUUUGUUUCAUCAGACCAGAGAAUUUUGUUUCUCAUGGUCUGAGAGUCCUUCAGGUGCCUUUUGGCAAACUCCAUUCAGGCUGUGGCUUCUGUCUGGCCACUGUACCAUACAGGCCUGAUUGGUGGAGUGCUGCAGAGAUAGGUGUUCUUCUGGAAGUUUCUCCUCUCUCCACAGAAACACGCUGGAGCUCUGUCAGAGUGACCGUUGGGUUUUUGGUCACCUCCCUGACAAACGCCCUUCUCCUCUGAUCGCACAGUUUGGCCGGGCGGCCAGCUCUAGGAAGAGUGCUGGUGGUUCCAAACUUCUUCCGUUUACGGAUGAUAGAGGCCACUGUGCUCGUUGGGACCUUCAAUGCUGCAGAAAUGUUUCUGUACCCUUCCCCAGAUCUGAGCCUCGAUACAAUACUGUCUCUGAGGUCUACAGACAAUUCCUUGGACUUUAUGGCUUGGUUUGUGCCUUUCCAAAACAUGUCCAAUCAACUGAAUUUACCAUAGGUAAUUUGAAACGACAUAUGUGAAUACAUAUGUACAUGUGCUUUUUUUUGCUUAUUUAUUUUUAAUAAAUUUGCAAAGAUUUCAAACAAACGUCUUUCAUGUUGUCAUUAUGGGGUAUUAUAGAAUUUUGAGGAAAAUAAUGAAUUUAAUCCAUUUUGGAAUAAGGCUGUAACAUAACAAAAUGUGGAAAAAGUGAAGUGCUGUGAAUACUUUCCGGAUGCACUGUAAGUAGCUGAUCUGGUAUGUCUCAAGCUCCAAUGUGCCAUAUACAUUGGUGUUUGAAAGUUUGUAAAUUUUCUAUAUUUCUGCAUAAAUGUGACCUAAAAUAACAUCAGAUUUUCACACAAGUCCUAAAGGUAGAUAAAGAGAAUCCAAUUAAACAAAUGAGAUAAAAAUAUUAUAUUUGGUCAUUUACUUAUCGAGGAAAAUACAUUAUAUAUCUGUGAGUGGCAUAGUAUGUGAACCUUUGCUUUCAGUAUGUGGUGUGACCCCCUUGUGCAGCAGUAAUUGCAGAUAAACCUUUGGGGUAACUGUUAAUCAGUCCUGCACAUCGACUUGGAGGAAUUUUAGCCCGUUUCUCAGUUCAGAACAGCUUCAUCUCUGGGAUGUUGGUGGGUUUCCUCACAUGACCUGCUUACUUCAGGUCCUUCCACAGCAUUUCUAUUGGAUUAAGGUCAGGACUUUGACUUGGCCAUUCCAAAACAUUAACUUUCUUCUUCUUUAACCAUUCUUUGGUAGAAUGACUUAAAAGAAAAUUCUAAAGGGUGC
ensembl:lncRNA